AAUAUAUGACGCCGUUGACUUUUUGUCCAACAUUUAACCAUUCGUCUUAUUUAAAAAAUUUAUGUAAUUAUCAUUUAUUUUAUUGUGAUUCGAUUCAUCAUCAAAUGUUCUUUAAGCAUGACAUAUAUAUUUUCAUGUUUGCACAAAAAAUUUGAAUAAAACGAAUGGUUAAAUGUUGGUGAAAAAGUCAACGGAGUCAUUUAUU
rnacentral:pre_miRNA from 1 species